rnacentral:rRNA from 1 species
UACGAGGGGUCCUAGCGUUGUUCGGAAUCAUUGGGCGUAAAGGGUGUGUAGGUGGCUAUGUAAGUCAGGUGUGAAAGCCCCGGGCUCAACCCGGGAAGUGCAUCUGAUACUGCGUAGCUUGAGUACCGAAGAGGAUAGUGGAAUUCCAGGUGUAGUGGUGAAAUACGUAGAUAUCUGGAGGAACACCGGUGGCGAAGGCGGCUAUCUGGUCGGAGUACUGACACUGAGACACGAAAGCAUGGGGAUCAAACAGG